GACAGAGGUGCCAAGCGUUAGGCGGAAUCACUGGGCUUAAAGCGUGUGUAGGCGGACUUCUAAGUACCUUGUGAAAUCCCACGGCUCAACCGUGGAACUGCUUGGUAUACUGGUUUUCUUGAGCCACUUAGGGGCUGUCGGAACAAGCGGUGGAGCGGUGAAAUGCGUAGAUAUCAGGAGGAACACCGAUGGCGAAGGCAGCUCGCUGGGACGGUACUGACGCUGAGGCGCGAAAGCGUGGGGAGCAAACAGG
rnacentral:rRNA from 1 species